CAGCAGCCGCGGUAAUACGUAGGUGGCAAGCGUUGUCCGGAAUUAUUGGGCGUAAAGGGCUCGCAGGCGGUUUCUUAAGUCUGAUGUGAAAGCCCCCGGCUCAACCGUGGAGGGUCAUUGGAAACUGGAAAACUUGAGUGCAGAAGAGGAAAGUGGAAUUCCAUGUGUAGCGGUGAAAUGCGCAGAGAUAUGGAGGAACACCAGUGGCGAAGGCGACUUUCUGGUCUGUAACUGACGCUGAUGUGCGAAAGCGUGGGGAUCAAACAGGAUUAGAUACCCCGGUAGUCCCUGUCUCUUAUAC
rnacentral:rRNA from 1 species